AUACGUAGGGGGCGAGCGUUGUCCGGAAUGAUUGGGCGUAAAGGGCGCGUAGGCGGCCCGGUAAGUCUGGAGUGAAAGUCCUGCUUUUAAGGUGGGAAUUGCUUUGGAUACUGUCGGGCUUGAGUGCAGGAGAGGUAAGUGGAAUUCCCAGUGUAGCGGUGAAAUGCGUAGAGAUUGGGAGGAACACCAGUGGCGAAGGCGACUUACUGGACUGUAACUGACGCUGAGGCGCGAAAGUGUGGGGAGCAAACAGGAUUAGAUACCCUGGUAGUCCACACUGUAAACGAUGAAUGCUAGGUGUAGGGGGUAUCGACCCCUUCUGUGCCGCAGUUAACACAAUAAGCAUUCCGCCUGGGGAGUACGGCCGCAAGAUUGAAACUCAAAGGAAUUGACGGGG
rnacentral:rRNA from 1 species